UAUUGCACAAUGGGGGGAACCCUGAUGCAGCGACGCCGCGUGGGUGAAGAAGUAUUUCGGUAUGUAAAGCCCUAUCAGCAGGGAAGAAAUUGGACGGUACCUGACUAAGAAGCCCCGGCUAACUACGUGCCAGCAGCCGCGGUAAUACGUAGGGGGCAAGCGUUAUCCGGAUUUACUGGGUGUAAAGGGAGCGCAGACGGCAGUGCAAGUCUGGAGUGAAAGCCCGGGGCCCAACCCCGGAACUGCUCUGGAAACUGUGCGGCUAGAGUACUGGAGGGGCAGGCGGAAUUCCUAGUGUAGCGGUGAAAUGCGUAGAUAUUAGGAGGAACACCAGUGGCGAAGGCGGCCUGCUGGACAGUAACUGACGUUGAGGCUCGAAAGCGUGGGGAGCAAACAG
rnacentral:rRNA from 1 species